GGCAGGGUGGGUGAGUCAUCCAAGAACUCAAAACCUGGCCCCUGUCUUUGUAGUGUGAGUUUAUGAGACUGUUUGCACAAUAAACCUCUGAACAGUUCUAUGAGGCUCUUUGUAUCUUAUGAAAAGAUUAGUUUAAGGGCUAAGGUCAGGAAUGAACAAAAUACAGUCCUUAUAAAUAUUCAUGUAUUCACUGAAAUAAAACAGUAAUUCCCCAGAGUGGAGGUGAGUGCACAGUGACACAGGAUGUCCUUUCCCUGACCUCAGAUUCGCAGCCCAGGGACACAAGAGAAAGAAGGCAUUGUAAGAAGGAAAAUGGAAGGGCACCUGGGGACUGAGAUUAUGUCCCCCACCCCUGCUCCCAGCUCGUCUCUGACUGCACACUGGAAUUACCUAAUGACAGCGUCCAACUCAGGUCCCAAGAAGGAAAAGGAGCUCCUUCCACUCCCCUCCUGACACCCUGCCUGGGCACAUUGGAGUUAGGAUGCUGGGAGCUGCCAGGAGAUGCACGGCCCAUGCAUCCUCUCCACAUAUGCUUCCUGGUCACUUAGUUUGGGCUCAAGACUGAGAGAUCCUGGCAAGAGUCCGGAGAGAAUGAACACCUCUGUCUGCUACAGCCCAUAGACACACACACCAUUCUGCCUUCCGAACAGCCCAGAUAGGAAAAUGGAAGUACAGAGAGAUUAAGUAACUUGUCAAUGAUCUCAUGGUGGGGAAGAGGCCCAGCUAGGAUUUGAACCCAGGCACUUUAAGUCUGGCUCCAGAACCCACUCUGUGAACCACUACAGUAUGCUACCUCUUGAACCAAAAAGACAUAAGAACACUUGAAGAUUUCCAAGUGCAAAAAAGGUACCCUAGAACUAAAAAAUAUUUUCAAGUCAAAAAUUCGGUAGAUGACUCCAAAUAGUCUGUUAAAAUUGCUGUUGAGGCCUGGAGCAAGCGAGCUGGUCACCACCAGCUGAUCAACACCAAAUGGAAGAAGAAACAGGUGCAACUAUGGAGAUGCAGCACAGAGUGAUGGAAAUCAGGAGGGAAGCAGAGAGACCUGGAGGACAGAUCUAGGCAACUAACAUGCAAAUAAUAGGAGUUCUUGAAGGAGUUUGAAAGCCGCAGAUGGGAGAGAGACGAUCAACAGACAACAGAGAGUCACUUCCCUGAGCCAAGAAAACACUGAGUGUGAGGAAGGAGAAGCUUACGUAUUCUAUUUUAAUGUCUUAAUGUAACCUUAUGCUUAUGACUUAUUUUAUUCUGUUGUUUAUUAUUUUUCCCUCUUCCUAGUGUUUGCUAGUGUGAUCUCUUGGAUAUACAUUUUCUUUCCCCACUUUGUUAAUGUGGGCAUUUGGUUGUAUAUUUCCAUUCUAUCAGUGUUCCCUUUAUCUCUUCCGGCAUUCAGAAUCAACUCUAUUUCUUUAUUGUAUACGAAAAUAAUUUACAACUAUUCCCUCUCCAGGAACUCCAUUCCCUUUCUACUGUCAGCCCCCAGCAUGACCUGUGGAACACACCAUGCCCCUACUCUCUCCCCGUCAGCCUAGGCUACAUGUUUAAAGUGACUUACUUUCCCCUCUGCUUCUCCAAUCCCUCACCGCUAGAUUUUUCUGAAAGCAUUUAGUAAUUAUCAUUUCAGAAUAUGAUUGUAAUUUCCCAGGAAUACAUGUUUUCUAUUUUAAGAAUUCUUGUGUGUAGACCCUAUAUUAUAAAUUCCCGAUCAG
rnacentral:lncRNA from 10 species